rnacentral:rRNA from 1 species
UGGGGAAUAUUGGACAAUGGGCGAAAGCCUGAUCCAGCCAUGCCGCGUGCAGGAUGACGGUCCUAUGGAUUGUAAACUGCUUUUGUACAGGAAGAAACAGUUCUACGUGUAGAACCUUGACGGUACUGUAAGAAUAAGGAUCGGCUAACUCCGUGCCAGCAGCCGCGGUAAUACGGAGGAUCCAAGCGUUAUCCGGAAUCAUUGGGUUUAAAGGGUCCGUAGGCGGUUAGAUAAGUCAGUGGUGAAAGCCCAUCGCUCAACGGUGGAACGGCCAUUGAUACUGUCUGACUUGAAUUAUUAGGAAGUAACUAGAAUAUGUAGUGUAGCGGUGAAAUGCUUAGAGAUUACAUGGAAUACCAAUUGCGAAGGCAGGUUACUACUAAUGGAUUGACGCUGAUGGACGAAAGCGUGGGUAGCGAACAGGAUUAGAUACCCCUGUAGUCCCUGAGCGGGCUGGCAAGGCGCAU